GACGAACGCUGGCGGCGUGCUUAACACAUGCAAGUCGAACGGAAAGGCCCUGCUUUUGUGGGGUGCUCGAGUGGCGAACGGGUGAGUAACACGUGAGUAACCUGCCCUUGACUUUGGGAUAACUUCAGGAAACUGGGGCUAAUACCGGAUAGGAGCUCCUGCUGCAUGGUGGGGGUUGGAAAGUUUCGGCGGUUGGGGAUGGACUCGCGGCUUAUCAGCUUGUUGGUGGGGUAGUGGCUUUCCAAGGCUUUGACGGGUAGCCGGCCUGAGAGGGUGACCGGCCACAUUGGGACUGAGAUACGGCCCAGACUCCUACGGGAGGCAGCAGUGGGGAAUAUUGCACAAUGGGCGGAAGCCUGAUGCAGCAACGCCGCGUGCGGGAUGACGGCCUUCGGGUUGUAAACCGCUUUCGCCGGUGACGAAGCGUGAGUGACGGUAAUGGGUAAAGAAGCACCGGCUAACUACGUG
rnacentral:rRNA from 1 species